rnacentral:lncRNA from 1 species
UAAGAUGAGCUACAAUGUAGAAGAUACAUAUCUAAAAUUAUAAUUGUGAAAGCCUUCUUGGAAAUUCUUAUGAAAAUUCAGAAUCUAAUUUUGUAUAAAAGCUUAAACUUAACUUAAAAAUGCUUAUAUCGUUACAUCUUUGUAACCUUAGUUAUAUGCUUCAAUGAUCACGUCAUUCAGGAGAAUAACUGAAUAUAAUUUCUAAAUGAAAAUUUUAAUAUAAGAAAAACAGAAUUAAUUUUGACGCCUUGGUUGAUUGUCUCGAUACACAUCUGAAACAUAUCUUUUCUUAUCCUUAAAAUCUACUAAUAUUGGUCUAAAUGAUCAAUGAUCUUGAUUGCAAGCAAAUAUUUUUAAAUAUAUGAUUUUAUUUUGAUAUUAAAAAUAUUUAUUGUGCUUCAUGUAUACAUUGCUGAAAAACUAUGAUUAAGAAAUUGAGUUCUAUAAAUAUAUAUAUUUCAAUGAUCAUCUAUAUAUUUUUCUCUCCUACAGACUCUCAUCAGAAUAUAUAUAUAGAAUGAAUGAUCUUAAAGCUAGAAAUAUUUCAGCUCACCCAAAUGAUUCUUAAAAGAAAAAGAAAAUGUAAAUGCCUUUGAAAGAAA